CAUCGGCACCUUUCACUCGGAUCGUCCGGCACGUACCUGUCGGUGAAGGGAUACCCCU
rfam:Actinomyces glycerinitolerans isolate G10_assembly1 genome assembly, contig: scaffold_03